UAAGUUUUUAGGAUUCUAAAACAACGCUAUUUCCUUUCUGUUUCUCCAUUCAAUAUUCAUAAAUAAAAUCUAAAGAGCCACAUUAAUUUUCCAAAAAAAAAAAAACUAACACUUCAUUCAAUUUCUUCUUCUCAAGCGACACUAUUCUCCUUCAGUUCCUACAUCCUAAAUUGAUUCCAAAUUCUUCACUGCUUUCCUAAAAACAUAAAAUACGUCACUGCUGCCCGAUCAAUCCUCUUUCUCUCUCCUAACGACCUGUCUGAUUUUACAAGGGCUAUGAUACAUGGAUUUUGCCCGGCAAAGUUUCUGUUUUCAUUAAUUGAAAACUGUUGAUAAGUCUUUCUUGGCCAAUCUGGAAGAUUUACGGGACAAGGAAGUCGCUGUCGUGGUGAGUAUAUGACUUUUAGUUUUAAUCUUAUACUCCAAAUUUUGACUUUUAAGUUCGAUGAAGAGAAUGUAACUAAUUGGUCGUGUAGAUUACAAGUAAUUGAAUUAUGAUGUAAAGGUUAUGAUGAGAAUAAUCACAAGGAGAAAUUAUGUUGAAAGUUAGCAUGUUUUAUAUAGUUUUACGAUCAUUAAUAAUUGCUAGUGAAUUUUAGUUGCAGAAAGUUAGAGAUGAAUUGCAAAAGGUUUGGAGAAUCCUGAUCAUGGAAUAGUUUGGGAGGUGAUCGAGAAUAUUGUCAUUCUUAGUUCCUAUAGCUUGUACAUGUAAACCUAUUGAAUUUUACAUAGGAAAAAUUGCUUUAAAUAAUAUCACCUUUCACCCGUCCGCUAAAAACAAGUCAACCUUUUGAUUAUCUCUAAAUAAUACCACCUUUGGGGGGUGUCCGUUUUAAACAAGUCAUUUUACCUAUAACCUGAAUAACCGGUUAAUUUUUUUUUUCUUUUUAAUAAAUUCGUUUAACAAUGUAAUUAACUAUUAACAACAACUUUAAUUAUGGUUAAUUAACAAUUAAAAUAUUUUUUAAAAUUUUCUUUAAAAAAAAAACUCCUCCACCAUCCACCAGCCACCACCGGCGCUCCUUUCUCUCCCAGCCCCUGGCGCCGGCCACUUCAUCCGGAUUACUUUUCCCCCGGCGACGAAGUAAGGCAGCGAGUAGUUUCCGGCGAGCGAUCGAGGAAUCGCUGGAAAAUCGUGCAACUGUUGCACGGUUUUCAAACUUUGAGUUCCGGUAGGUGGUCGUGCAAUUGUUGCAACGAUAAAGGCAGACGGUGGUCGUGGUGGGUUUUCGGCCUGGCCGCGACCACCACCUUCAGAUUAAGGGCUUUUUCGGGGAAGGGUAGCAGCAACAACAUUAGUGGUUGAAGUUGCCGAAGACGUCGUGCGCUGACCGAGAACGUUCUGGAUGGCGGCGUCGUGGGCUCGUGCUUCGACCGGAAAUGUUCUGGCUAGCGUUGUGGGCUGCUACUCCGGUGGCUGACCACCGGUUUCCCUUCACCCUUCCUCGGCGCAGGCCUGAACCACCGAACUCCCCUUCCCCAUAACCCUCAUUCCCCGCAAAACCACCAAAAACCCAUCCUUGGAGUUAUUUUUUUUUUUUUUACAAUAAUAAUAAUAAUAA